AGUGAGCGGCAAGCUCAAUUUGAAUCUGGCACCUUCAGUGUUCGAGUUGUGAUUUGAGGAUGGUAGCCUUGGGGUGGCUCUUGUCUAUGUUCCUUGGAAAGGACCAUAUAAAAGGGUAAAACCCCUCCGAUGGAUCCCAUUGCCUUUUGGUGCUACUAAAAAUAACUAGUUUGGA
rnacentral:rRNA from 1 species